rnacentral:rRNA from 1 species
CCAAUAGCGUAUAUUAAAGUUGUUGCAGUUAAAAAGCUCGUAGUUGAACUUCGGGGUUCACCCAUUGGUCAGGCUUAAUUGUCUGUACUGGUGAGAUGAAUCUCUACCUUCUGAGGAACUUUCAUGCCAUUUAUUUAGUGUGAUUGGAAAUCAGGACUGUUACUUUGAAAAAAUUAGAGUGUUUAAAGCAGGCUGACGUC